rnacentral:rRNA from 1 species
AGCGAACGCUGGCGGCAGGCCUAACACAUGCAAGUCGAACGAAGUCUUCGGACUUAGUGGCGGACGGGUGAGUAACACGUGGGAACGUGCCUUUAGGUUCGGAAUAACUCAGGGAUACUUGUGCUAAUACCGAAUGUGCCCUUCGGGGGAAAGAUUUAUCGCCUUUAGAGCGGCCCGCGUCUGAUUAGCUAGUUGGUGAGGUAAAGGCUCACCAAGGCUACGAUCAGUAGCCGGUCUGAGAGGAUGACCAGCCACAUUGGGACUGAGACACGGCCCAAACUCCUACGGGAGGCAGCAGUGGGGAAUCUUGCGCAAUGGGCGAAAGCCUGACGCAGCCAUGCCGCGUGGAUGAUGAAGGUCUUAGGAUUGUAAAAUCCUUUCACCGGUGAAGAUAAUGACUGUAGCCGGAGAAGAAGCCCCGGCAAACUUCGUGCCAGCCGCCGCCGUAAAAC